rnacentral:misc_RNA from 1 species
UCUCCGUUGGUGAACCAGCGGAGGGAUCAUUACCGAGUUUUCUACUCCCAAACCCCUGUGAACUUAUACCUUUACCGUUGCUUCGGCGGGUUAACGCCCCGGAAAGGCCCCCGAAAGGGAACCGCCCCGGAACCAGGCGCCCGCCGGGGGACCCAAACUCUUGUAUUUUCUUACCUAGCAUGUCUGAGUGGAAUCAUAAACAAAUGAAUCAAAACUUUCAACAACGGAUCUCUUGGUUCCG